rnacentral:rRNA from 1 species
UACGGGGGGGGCAAGCGUUGUUCGGAAUUACUGGGCGUAAAGGGCUCGUAGGUGGCCAACUAAGUCAGACGUGAAAUCCCCAGGCUUAACCUGGGAAUUGCAUCCGAUACUGGAUGGCUUGAAUCCGGGAGAGGGAUGCGGAAUUCCAGGUGUAGCGGUGAAAUGCGUAGAUAUCUGGAGGAACACCGGUGGCGAAGGCGGCAUCCUGGACCGGCAUUGACGCUGAGGAGCGAAAGCCAGGGGAGCAAACGGG